GAUCAUGGCUCAGGAUGAACGCUAGCUACAGGCUUAACACAUGCAAGUCGAGGGGAAACGAUAGAGAAAGCUUGCUUUUUCUAGGCGUCGACCGGCGCACGGGUGAGUAACGCGUAUCCAACCUGCCCAUCACUUGGGGGAUAACCUUGCGAAAGUAAGACUAAUACCCAAUGACGUCUCUAGAAGACAUCUGAAGGAGAUUAAAAGAUUUAUCGGUGAUGGAUGGGGAUGCGUCUGAUUAGCUUGUUGGCGGGGUAACGGCCCACCAAGGCGACGAUCAGUAGGGGUUCUGAGAGGAAGGCCCCCCACAUUGGAACUGAGACACGGUCCAAACUCCUACGGGAGGCAGCAGUGAGGAAUAUUGGUCAAUGGGCGUAAGCCUGAACCAGCCAAGUCGCGUGAGGGAUGAAGGUUCUAUGGAUCGUAAACCUCUUUUAUAAGGGAAUAAAGUGCGGGACGUGUCCCGCUUUGUAUGUACCUUAUGAAUAAGGAUCGGCUAACUCCGUG
rnacentral:rRNA from 1 species